AGUGUGGGAACUGUCCGGGAAGGCAUGUGUGAAAUGCUCCGAGAUGAGGUAUCAUCUUACAGCCAAAACCACCUUAGGGAAAAUACGCUGUGCCGGCAUGUGCUUGUGUCGGGUCCCGCUGUGAAUUGACUGUGGAAAAUACACUCCAGUGUGCCGGCCGCUCCCGUGUCCUUGAUUUAUCAGAAUAGGAUGUGGCUGAUGGGCGGACAUAAAGCAGUCUGAAUGGGAAGCUCCCUCAGAAGCUGGAGAUCCGCCACGCGUCGAAGGCGGCGCAGAGGGAAUCAAAGCUGAAGCCCCUGCACAAAAGCUGAUGACCGGGCUGGAAUCAACAGGAUCCAGGAAGCCUCAUGAUGGAGUAAAUCCAUGUUUGGGAACAAUUGCAGCACGAAAGGUAACUCAGAUGGUGAAAGAGCUUGUCAAACAUUUGCCUCUAUGCUGAGCCAGACGUCACCCCUAUCGGCUUAUCUGGACACCCUUGUGCAUGGAGGGAAUGCUGGCUCUCAUACCUCCAUGCACCAUCAGCAUAAAAACAUAGCACAAGAACUGGGAGACCUCUAGCAUUGGCUCCUCCAAGAAGAAUAUAUACAUACGAUACCUGUCAAAAAAUUGGAAACACCCUCUAAGCCUGUGCAGCUUGUCAACUCUGUGACCUCUGACCAGGCACGGAAUGCGGGUUUCGUGUGACGUGUUCAAGGUUUUGCCAUCUGUGACAUCUUCCUCUCACUGAGGCCUGGUGUCUUUUUCGUGGACAAGUGCCCUCUGUCCACACUCACUGUCCUGGAAAAGAUGCUUAUAAUGUGGUUUGUUUGUUUAUUUUUGGUCCAGUAGGACACUCUAGACC